rnacentral:rRNA from 1 species
CCUACGGAGGCUGCAGUGGGGAAUAUUGGACAAUGGGCGAAAGCCUGAUCCAGCCAUGCCGCGUGUGUGAAGAAGGCCUUCGGGUUGUAAAGCACUUUCAGUGGGGAAGAAAGCCUUGGGGCUAAUACCCUCGAGGAAGGACAUCACCCACAGAAGAAGCACCGGCUAACUCCGUGCCAGCAGCCGCGGUAAUACGGAGGGUGCGAGCGUUAAUCGGAAUUACUGGGCGUAAAGCGCGCGUAGGCGGUCUGAUAAGCCGGUUGUGAAAGCCCCGGGCUCAACCUGGGAACGGCAUCCGGAACUGUCAGGCUAGAGUGCAGGAGAGGAAGGUGGAAUUCCCGGUGUAGCGGUGAAAUGGGUAGAGAUCGGGAGGAAUACCAGUGGCGAAGGCGGCCUUCUGGACUGACACUGACGCUGAGGUGCGAAAGCGUGGGUAGCAAACAGGAUUAAUACCCCGGUAGUC